UGGGGAAUUUUGGACAAUGGGCGCAAGCCUGAUCCAGCCAUGCCGCGUGCGGGAAGAAGGCCUUCGGGUUGUAAACCGCUUUUGUCAGGGAAGAAAUCUUCUGAGUUAAUACCUCGGGAGGAUGACGGUACCUGAAGAAUAAGCACCGGCUAACUACGUGCCAGCAGCCGCGGUAAUACGUAGGGUGCAAGCGUUAAUCGGAAUUACUGGGCGUAAAGCGUGCGCAGGCGGUUUUGUAAGACAGAGGUGAAAUCCCCGGGCUCAACCUGGGAACUGCCUUUGUGACUGCAAGGCUUGAGUGCGGCAGAGGGGGAUGGAAUUCCGCGUGUAGCAGUGAAAUGCGUAGAUAUGCGGAGGAACACCGAUGGCGAAGGCAAUCCCCUGGGCCUGCACUGACGCUCAUGCACGAAAGCGUGGGGAGCAAACAGGAUUAGAUACCCUGGUAGUCCACGCCCUAAACGAUGUCAACUGGUUGUUGGGAAGGUUCCUUCUCAGUAACGUAGCUAACGCGUGAAGUUGACCGCCUGGGGAGUACGGCCGCAAGGUUGAAACUUAAAUGAAUUGACGAGGUCAUAGC
rnacentral:rRNA from 1 species